rnacentral:rRNA from 1 species
AAAUUCAAAAAACUUGGCGGUUUUUUAGCCUUAUUAGAGGAACCUGUAUCAUAAUCGAUAAUCCACGAUUGGAAUUACUAUAAAUUAGCUUAUAUACCGUUGUCAUAAGAUAAUUUUAUAAGAUUUUAUCUAGAAUUAUAAUUUUAAAAGAUGUCAGAUCAAGGUGUAGCUGUAUUAUAGAGAAUAUGGGUUACAAUAUCAUAAGAUACACGAAUUUUGUUUAUUAAGAAAUAAAUGAAGGAGGAUUUAAAAGUAAAUAAUUUAUGAAAUAUUGAGUAUAGCACUAGAAAAUGCACAUAUCGCCCGUCGCUCUUGUUUAAAAGUUAAGAUAAGUCGUAACAUAGUAGAUAUACUGGAAAGUAUCUCUAGAAAGUUUCUAUUUAAAGUUUAAGAAAAUUUAUUACUUACACUAAUAAGAUUCUGUGCAAUUCAGAUAAAUAGAUAAAGAUUUCUUAAAUUUUAAAAAUUAGAGAAUUAAUCUUUUUCCAAUAAUAAUUAUAAUUUUAGUAAAAAAAAAUAAAUAAAUUUAUAGUGUAUUAGUACUGUAAAGGAAAGUAAAUAAAUUAAUUAAAAGAAUAAGUAAAUUUAGUACCUUUUGUAUCAGGGUUUAUUAAAUAUUUAUAAAUAUUUAUAAUUCUCGAAAAAUAGUGAGUUAAAUUUAUUUUAUCUUAACAUUAUAAAGUUAAAUACAAAAUGAAUUUGGAAUAAAAAUUAUAGUCAAUCUAUUUAAUAUCUAGUUUCUCAAGAAAUAAAUUUAAUUUAGUCUUUGUAUAAAAAGAAAAAUUAUUUUAAGGAUAAACUUAAAAUUAAAUUAAAACCUCUAUAAAAUUUAAAAAAAAAAUUCUUAAAAGUGGAAAAUUUUAAAUAUUUUUAAUCAGAAGUGAAUAAAUAAAUUAAUUUAUAAUUAGGUUUAAUUUUAUAUUGAGAGAUAUAUUUUAACAAAAUAAAUAUAGCCAAUAUGAUAAAAUUAGUAUAAACUUUUAUAAAUUUAAAGUAAUUUAAAAUUAUAAGAAUGAACUCGGCAAAUAUUAUUUUCAAAUGUUUAUCAAAAACAUUUUUUUUAGAAAUUGAUUAAAAAUAUAAUCUGCCCCCUGAAUUUUUAAGGGCCGCGGUAAUUUGACCGUGCAAAGGUAGCAUAAUCAAUAGUCUUUUAAUUGGAGACUUGUAUGAACGAUUGAAUGAAGGAUAAGCUGUAUCUUUAUAAAUU